rnacentral:misc_RNA from 1 species
AGCAGCCGCGGUAAUUCCAGCUCCAAUAGCGUAUAUUAAAGUUGCUGCAGUUAAAAAGCUCGUAGUUGAAUUUCGGGACUAAUAUGUCGGUCGUGCCUCGGUACGUACUGGUUUAUUGGUUUCUCCUUUCUGAAGAACCAUGAUGUCAUUUAUUUGGUGUCGUGGGGAAUCAGGACUGUUACUUUGAAAAAAUUAGAGUGUUUAAAGCAGGCUCACGCUUGAAUACAUUAGCAUGGAAUAAUGAAAUAGGACGUUUGAUUCUAUUUUGUUGGUUUCUAGGAUCGACGUAAUGAUUAAUAGGGAUAGUUGGGGGCAUUAGUAUUCAAUUGUCAGAGGUGAAAUUCAUGGAUUUAUUGAAGACUAACUACUGCGAAAGCAUUUGCCAAGGAUGUUUUCAUUAAUCAAGAACGAAAGUUAGGGGAUCGAAGACGAUCAGAUACCGUCGUAGUCUUAACCAUAAACUAUGCCGA